GACGAACGCUGGCGGCGUGCCUAAUACAUGCAAGUCGAACGAGAGCGACCGGUGCUUGCACUGGUCAAUCUAGUGGCGAACGGGUGAGUAACACGUGGGUAACCUGCCCAUCAGAGGGGGAUAACAUCCGGAAACGGAUGCUAAAACCGCAUAGGUCUUCGAGCCGCAUGGCUUGAAGAGGAAAAGAGACGCAAGCUUCUGCUGAUGGAUGGACCCGCGGUGCAUUAGCUAGUUGGUGAGGUAACGGCUCACCAAGGCCGUGAUGCAUAGCCGACCUGAGAGGGUGAUCGGCCACAUUGGGACUGAGACACGGCCCAAACUCCUACGGGAGGCAGCAGUAGGGAAUCUUCCGCAAUGGACGCAAGUCUGACGGAGCAACGCCGCGUGAGUGAAGAAGGUUUUCGGAUCGUAAAACUCUGUUGUUAGAGAAGAACAAGUGCUAGAGUAACUGUUAGCGCCUUGACGGUAGCUAACCAGAAAGCCACGGCUAACUACGUG
rnacentral:rRNA from 1 species